rnacentral:rRNA from 1 species
AUUGAACGCUGGCGGCAUGCUUUACACAUGCAAGUCGAACGGUAACAGGCCGCAAGGUGCUGACGAGUGGCGAACGGGUGGGUAAUGCAUCGGAACGUGCCCAGUCGUGGGGGAUAACUACUCGAAAGAGUAGCUAAUACCGCAUACGAUCUAUGGAUGAAAGCGGGGGACCGUAAGGCCUCGCGCGAUUGGAGCGGCCGAUGUCAGAUUAGGUAGUUGGUGGGGUAAAGGCUCACCAAGCCAACGAUCUGUAGCUGGUCUGAGAGGACAACCAGCCACACUGGGACUGAGACACGGCCCAGACUCCUACGGGAGGCAGCAGUGGGGAAUUUUGGACAAUGGGCGCAAGCCUGAUCCAGCAAUGCCGCGUGCAGGAAGAAGGCCUUCGGGUUGUAAACUGCUUUUGUACGGAACGAAACGGCUCUGGUUAAUACCCGGGGCUAAUGACGGUACCGUAAGAAUAAGCACCGGCUAACUACGUG